GCCCCUGUGGCCUAAUGGCUAAGGCGUGGGUCUUCUACCUAAUGGAAAACCCAAGAUUGCGGUAAGUGGAAACUAUGCCAAAAUUUCCAAAUAGUACUAACAUUAGAAAAAGGGUUCGAGUCCCGCCAGGGGUU
rfam:Metarhizium majus ARSEF 297 Scaffold_3, whole genome shotgun sequence.